CACAAAUUUGUGGCCUGCAAAAAUGGCCAUGGAAGGUUCCACUUUUCCUGCAUGGCUUUUUUUCUGCCCCUCUGCUUCUGCUCUUACAAAGCGCAGCAUUUUUUCUGGUGCUCUGGAAAUUGUUUGCUUAUAUUUGGCUUCAGAAUUAUGCAGGUAGGGUGAGGACCGAAGCAGGAAUCACCUUUGUCCUGGCAUCUUCUGUGUGGGAGGAGAAGGAAUGUGCCACAGAUGGAAAGAGGGAAAGAAUGAAGUCUCCAGUAAGUGGAGUGGACACUUAACUCCUGUUUGCAUUUCUUCUGCCUAAAAUUCUCAAAAGUACAUCCACCGCCCCCUCCCCAACACGUGAAUGGAGUCGCCAGACUGGAAUAGUCACUUCAUUUCUGUUUUACCAACGUCUUUCAAAAGGAGACGGAGCAAUGAAGCAGGCAGGGUCUUGGCAAUUGUGUGAAGGAAACUGGGAAGAUCCAGCCAUUUGAGGACGUCUCAUUAAUGCAAGCUCUGCUGGCUGACAUUUUUAUUUUAAAUUUAGAAUCUCUUUUUCCUGACAUCGGGCGUUGAUUUAUUAUUUGGAUUGUUCUAAUCAUUGGUUUUAACUUUCUACGCUGCCCGGAGUCGCUGUCAUGAAGUGGGUGACCAUAUAAAUCAUUUAAAUAAAUCAAACAUUGCAAUAAAUUAAACAUUUCAAACAUUGAAAUAAGUUAUAGCCAACCGAGGAUUUCUGCAAGUAAAUCUGAGCUCACAUUUGAAAUAAACAUUUUUAUCUCACUACAGAAGUAAUAGAGGAUAACAUGAGGGACCAGUUUCUUUCAAUAAUAUUAAACGAAAAGAAAGAUGUGCACAAUUCACUGUCUCUUUUGUGAUGUCGAGAAAAAUUCUACAUCAUGCCGCUUAAGUCAAGAUCUCUUUCUCUGUCUGCUCCUGCUUACUGGGGAUGUUUCUGUUCCACAGGUCAGACCAUCUGCCGGGGAGGAACGCAGCGCCCCUGCUACAAAAUUGUUUAUUUUCAUGAUGCUCUGCGCAGAGUUGGCUUCCAGGAAGCCCUUCAGACCUGCAGAAGAGAUGGGGGGGACUUGGUCAGCAUUGAAUCCCCGUCAGAACAGGGGCUGAUAGAGAAGAUGAUUCAGAGUUAUUCGGCAUCUGAUGGCGAUUUCUGGAUCGGGCUCACGAGAGAAGGUGAUCCUGAGAACAGCACCCAGUGCCCACAUUUAUACGAAUGGACUGAUGGGAGCUUGUCCACCUUUCGGAACUGGUACGCAGACGAGCCCUCCUGCGGAAGUGAGGGGUGCGUGGUGAUGUAUCACCAGCCUUCGGCACCUGCUGGUGAUGGGGGACGUUACUUGUUCCAGUGGAAUGAUGACAGGUGCACCAUAAGAAACAACUUCAUCUGCAAAUAUUCCCAGGAAAAGCCGACAGCUGUCUCUGAAUUGGCUGCUUCUCAGACAGGGUACAUAACGGAGUCUUUGGCACUCACAUCCCCAGAAACACCUAUUCAAGAAGAUGUAGCCAAUAAAACCCACACAGAGGCCAAAGAGCCUGCGUGGAGUCUUCUAUACAUCUUAAUUUCCAGCAUUCCUGCACUGCUGCUGUUGAUCAUCAUUGCUGUUUUCAGCUUUUGGGUUUAUGCAAAGAGGAGACGGGAGCAGAGAGAGGUGAGCACAAAGGAUAAAGAUACUUGGUUGUCUCCCAAAAUGCAAAACAGCCCCAGUUUAGAGAUAUACAACGUAAUUAAAAAACAGGGUGAGGCCGAUCUUGCUGGAACCAGACCACAAAUCCAAAACUCGUCUUUCCGUGCCUGUCCUGGAGGAGAUGACCUUUCUGGAGACUAUGACAAUAUGGCAGUCAACAGCUCAGAGAGUGGCUUUGUGACCCUGGCAAGCACUGAAAGUGGAUUUGUCACAAAUGACAUCUAUGAACUGUGCAAUGACAGGGUGGGGCGAAGCAAAGAGUCAGCCUGGGUAGAAAAUGAAAUCUACGGAUAUUAAAGACCUGGAGGUGUGAGACUAAGUAAAAGGGGAAAUGUUCCCAUUUAUACAAACUUUAGCACACAGAGACAUGACUGCUGUCUGCAGAAUGAUUUCCUCUUCCUCCCUGAAAGGAGAACAUGGAUUUAAACGUGUUGAUUGAUUGAUUGAUUGAUUGAUUGAUUACAUGCCACUGAGUCCUUUUUGACUCCUAGCAACCACAGAGGUAGAUUUUCUCCAUGAUGAUCUGUCCUAACCUGGUCUUUCAGGUCUUCCAACAGUGCCCCAUCAACUCCGUAACUGAGUCCAUCCACCUUGAUGCUGGUCAUCCUCUUCUUCUCUUUCCUUCCACCUUUAAAUGUAGGCAGAGAUCUUAUUGGCCAAGGAAAUGGACUUGGGAGAACUUGAUUCUGUUGCUUGUUACAGCACAUCCCCUCCUAAUCAUCUAUAAUUUGACAAUAUUUUUGCAUUAUAAUAAGCACUUAAACUAGUUGUCGACAUCCAGAUGGAAUUUGUGAGGUACAGCUAAAAAUACCGUCAGUUGUGUUCAUCACCGCCUGGCUUUUAUCGGCUGCCUAGUUUCCAUCUACACCUGUUUUGCAAUCCUGACAGUCAAAAAUUUCCAGAAAGGAGGGGUCUGUUUCUGCUCUUCUUAUCCUCUAAGCGGCAUUUUGCAGGAAAUAUUUAAGCAUUCUUAUAUCCUAGGCUUGAGACAUGACUUGGAAAUAACUGCCACAAAAACGAAUGAAUCACAACACUUCAAGCAAGGAUUCUAAACUAUUAAUGCCAUUUUAUCGUAGGAAUUUGUAUAACCCAUUCCCUUGGAAAAAGUACUGCUGCGUCUGGGAAGAAUCCUGGCUGAAAAGACACUUUUAAGUGGCCUUAGAGGCAGGCAUUCUAUUUUGGGUGUUGUUUGUUUAACUUAUCAAAGACUUGGAUAUUGACCACUUUAUUUUGGAGGGAACAGGUGACAGACACUGUCCCAUACUGAUUAGUUGGUGUGCUGCAAAUAAGUAUUGUGCAUUGCAGUAUUCCUAGAGAUCCUGAAACAACACAUCCUCCAUGUGCCAUGCGGCAUGGCAGAAAUCAUGCUGAUAAAAAUGUAUCAUCUUAGAGUAGCUUCCCCGGUAUGAUUCCUCCAGAAGUUGGACUACAUCUCCCAGAAAUUCCAGCCAACAUGACCAGUGGUGUUUGCACAUCUGGAGAGCAAGAAGCUUAGAAAUGGUGCCAGUGACAAGAACUCCUCCAUUGUUGAGGACAGGCCUGUUUCUUGGAAGCAGAAUACAAGAUGGAGUAAAGUUAAGCUGGUGCAAGUUUCAAAGAUAAAAUUGCCCAAGACUCUUCCCUUCAUAUAUACCAGAUCCUUUCUGGCCCAGGUGAUAUUGGCAAACUCGGGAAACAAGUCCUGUCCUCAUGGCUCAUAGCAGCAUGCAAUUUCUGAUUCUGCAAUUAUGUCCAAAUUUGCUUGGUUGAAUUCCAUACUAUUGUUUUUAGAAAUAAUUAAGAAGAAACCAAUGCUUUAUUUGAGAUGGUGCGCAAAUUUUGAUAGCUUGAUGCCUAUGCUUUUCAACAUGAAUGUCAGCUCCCUCUUUGGCAGUUCCAGCAGAGAAGCAGUGAGCUGAGAUAAGACAUAGAAGUAUUUCUGGUGCCUUGCUUUGUUAUUUGACGUGUGACAGAUGAAAGAUGAAGAAAAAACUUUUUUU